AGCGAACGCUGGCGGUAGGCUUAACACAUGCAAGUCGAACGGCAGCACAGUACGAGCUUGCUCUUACGGGUGGCGAGUGGCGGACGGGUGAGGAAAACAACGUAAUCUACUCUUUCGUGUGGGUUAACGUAGGGAAACCUACUCUCAUACCGCAUCCGCCCCUCGGGUGAAAGCAGGGGAUCUUCGGACCUUGCGCGGUUGAACGAGCCGAUGUCGUAUUAGCUAGUUGGCGGGGUAAAGGCCCACCAAGUCGCCGAUCCGCAGCUGGUGUGAGUGGAUGGUCAGCCACACUGGAAGGUAGACACGCUCCAGACGCCUACGGGAGGCAGCAGUGGGGAAUAUUGGACAAUGGGCGCAAGCCUGGUACAGUGGUACCGCGUGGGUGGAGAAGACCUUCGGGUUGUAAUGCCGUUUUGUUGGUAAAGAAAAGCAUCAGGUUAAUACGCAGCUUUUCUGACGGUACCGAGUGAAGAAGCACCGGCUAACUACGUG
rnacentral:rRNA from 1 species